rnacentral:lncRNA from 1 species
CUGUUUGCAGCUACGGCAGUGAGUAUGUAUGUGUCGGACCCCGAGUCACCCGCGGCCCGGGACCCCUGCCUACCCUCCGUCUCGCCCGCCGAGCUGUGGAACUAGCGCGUGCCCCCUCGCCGACCUCGGCGUCUGGCGUCCGCCCCUCACUCGUGGUGGGGCGCAGCUCCUGGUUUCUCAGCUGCGCGCCGCCCCACGCGGCCGGGCUGCCGGAUCUAGGGGGUCCGCGUCUCCUUGGCUCUCCAAGGGCUAAGGCCGUGAUUCUAGAGCGGCUGGGCGUCCAGGGCCUCGGUGGGGGUGGCGUGCGUGCCCUUUUCAUCUCCCCGCAAGGCCCCCAGUCUUGUAGGGAAGCCAGUGAAGCGCGGAGGUCCCGGCGCGCCGAGAGAGAGUCCAGUCUUUGAGGACCGAGUAGUCCUGGGCCACCUCCCGCCUCUGCUGUCAGAAGCAGCAGCUGCAGCGGUAGAAUCCAAAAUUUCGGGAGCUGUGACCCUUUCCUCAUGUAAAACAAGUAGACGUGGACUGCUGGAGUGCAGUGGCGUGAUCAUAGCUCACUGUCAACUUUGAACACUUGGGCUCAAGCUAUCCUCCCUCAGCCUCCCAAGGUGGGAGGUAACAGAUCUGGGCAUAGGAACCAACCAGAAACAAUCGCUUCAGCAAUCAAGACCAUUGUUCAUCAUGGAGGAACCCAUAGAUACCUCUGAGCCUCUAUCUGCAUUACCAUUCACUGGGCAGCAGUCUUUUGAGCCAAGUGGCAAAUUUGGACAGUAUCCAUCCAAUGCAGAUGAACCACAUCCAGGCACUGGGGAGGUGGAGGACAUAGAACAGCUCAAUCAGUGUUUGAUCCAACACUUCCAUCUCAUUAAGACAAGUUUGAUUUUUCUUUGCUUUUUAUUUCAUGGAAUACAUGAGAAUCUCUUAACUGUUGGAGUUUCCAAGGAGGCAUACCUCAUGACUUCA